GCAAUUUUCCCACCAUGCCUGCAAAGUGAAUUUUGCUGAACAUCUUUCAGUUCCUGAAAGAAUGUAAAAGGAUGCAGACCCCAGAGGGUGUUUUGGGUUUUAGUGUUCUUAUCCUAUGAGGGCAAAAUGCAUUGGUUCCUAUGUGCCAAGCAGACUUGUGCUUACUCACUGCAGGGAAGACAGAAGAAACAGUGCCCUUAUCUUUGAUAGCUGUAUUAGAACAUAAAUUGUAUGGGCAAACCAGAUUUCUCCUAAACUCUCAGUUCUGUGCAGGAUUAUAUGAGUUCAGCUAAGCUAGAAACCACACAAAGCCCACCCCUGCACAGUAAAGCAGCCCAAACUUGUGCAUUCAUGGGGCUGUUGAUGCUGGGGAUUCCUAUUUUUGGUCUGAGCCUGUUGCAAACUGCAAUGCAGAAAAACAACCUUGCUCUUUAUUAUUCUAAAUAAUGGGGAAAUGGAGAAAUCUAAGAGCCUGCCCAACAAACACAAUAGACCCAGAUAGCCCCAUCUCGGGCACCUGGUCACAAAGUUUCCUGUUGUUUUUUUCCACCCCACUAAGUCCUCUAUAACACCUGACCAAAUGCAAGGGAACUAAAACCUGAGUCUGCAUAGCAAAUUUCUGUGUAAUCUGAAAGAGAGUAACCCAGGGGCAUCAAGAAAGGUAAAGUAAAAUUUAGAGAGAUCUCAGUUCCUACUUGUAACCUCAAGCUUGUAUUCUUAAUAUGGAAUUUUAGCCUGACAGUCUGAUUGAAUUUCUCGGCAGAGUUUUUAGGAAUAUGUCAUUGUUUCAUUCUGCUCCAUGACGAAGGUCCGUGUCUCUCAGGGACUGUUGACACUUUGCUGAUAGUUCCUCAAGUUUGGCCCUCCCACAGAGCUCCCAGAGCUGUUAGAGAGCACCAGUUCCUUCAGGAUCACCUGCCAGCUGUGGUGCUGUACUUUUUACAUCACGACUCUGAGAUGACACCUCUCCGUGCUGGCAGACAGGCCAGGUGGGUAGGCAUUGCUCCUCAGAGCUGUUCUGCAUCUCAGGAGGCACAGGCUGUAGCCUGGUUUAGCAUAAAGGAAAUCAAGGACAAGGGCAGUGUUGUAAAUAAGGGGCAAAGCACAGAACUGUGUCCUCUUCCAGCUCUGCUGCAGCUGCAGAGAGCAACCUUGGGCAGAUCAGUUCCUCUGCAGCUGCAUUUCCCAGGACAGCCUUGCUCCUUCCUGCUGACUGUCACAGGGUUUUGGUCUUCUGGCUGGGCAGAGGUUGGUUGCUGAUGGAGUUGAAGAAGAUGAGUGUGUGCAGUAGGGGGGAAAUCUUAACACCUUUUAAGCUUUUCCAGGAGUCGUCUUCCUUUUAAGUAGCAUACCUUCUUUUCCCCUGAUGCAGAUAAGGUGGUCCAUUGUGGGACUAUCAGCCUGGAGUAUUAUGGGUAAUAUACCAGGUUAAUUAUGGAGGGGGCAGGAAAAAUAGCCUGUGCAGUUUUCAACAAUAUCAAAGGGAUGCUACCUAAUGAUUUUCCUAUUAGCUCUUUUCCCAUCCUGCCAGAGUCGCUGCAGAAGUGUCAUUUACAAAGGCAGUUUGCAACUCAUUACCCUGGAUUUUCACUGUAGUUCUGCUCCAGAGAGCGUGGGCUUUUGCUGCAUGCCCCAACCUAAUGAAUUGCCUGAUUCAGUUAGUGCUGCCAUCCCUCCUGACAAGGUUAGUUGCUGACUGACAGGAAGGGGCCUGAAUUCAAUUCCCUUCUUGUUUUUAACUCACGCUUGUGUCAGGUGCAGGCUCCCUCUGGAAGUCGCCCUAUGAUCCCUUCCCUUUGUUUUUCUGCAUUCUGAGGGAAGCAGCCCAUGCUUGGAGAAGUCCUGGAGCAAGUGGCAGGGGCAUGUUUGUUGCUGCCCCUGGCAGUCCGUGCUCCAUGCCUCAAGUCCCUUUCCAGAUGGAAAAUUCCUUUGCUCUCCUGCCCUGGGACUCUGGGCUUCUCUUUUUCUUCAUUGCUUUGGGGUUUGCUGUCACCAGAGCUGGGCUUUGUAACCCUUCAGCAAUAAGUACCUGGGAAGAGUUGCAUCAAUGGUACCAGGGAAAAACGUGGAAUAUGGGCUGGGGGAACAGAAUGGGUUCCCACACAUUAGAAGGCAACAGUGUCACUGUUGUGAAUGCUCCAAGGUCUGCUUCAGCCUGUUUGGGCUUUGCCAGGCACUUGUACUGCAGCACUGGAGAAAGUUUUUUUUUCCUUUUCUACUAGAGAGCUGUGUGCUUUUUCAGUCUGGGGGCUGAUGGCUCAACUCCUGCUAGGAACUGCUCCUGGAGAGGAGAAAUCAAGGCUGUUCCUACAUGAUGUCACAAGUGUUCCCAUUUGGAAGCUGAAUUGGCUACUGCUCAUCCAGCUGGUGGUGCAGGAAAUGUGUAGGUCCCAUGAGUGCUAAUUUGACCUGAGUAUGGACAGGGGACCCUGGAACUCCUUCUCCCCUCACUUCCAGGUGUGUGUACACACCUCUGCUAAAGGCCAUUCUCUGGGACUGUGGUUGAGAUAUCAGAUGCCACCUCCUGAGGCUGCACCUUGCAUCCAGAACAGCUGUUGAUCACUUAUGCUGUCUGGGCUGGGAUGUAGCAGGGGAGUUUUCCAGGGCAGGCCAUGGAUCCUUUCAUGGGAUGUUGUGAGGAUCUGACCUAGCUGGCCAUCAGGGGAGGCAGUGAUGCGAGAUGAAUUUGUUUUUGCUGCACAAGAUGCCUCCUCGCCUCCUCGCCUGUGGUCCUUCUUGCUUGCUGCCCUUGUUUUCUGCUGAGCCCCUGUCAGGGAGACCCAGUUGUGGCCAUUUUGGGUGAUUACUGUGUUCUAAUGAGCCACUUCUGAUUCCCAUUCUUGCUUGCCCAGUGAAGCAGCAAAGUGCUCACCAGUGCUCUGAGAACUGACCUCUGCUGGCAGUGCCACUCUCUGCCUGUCAGACCCACUGGUCUGGCUGUGCCACAGAGGGGCUGAGCUUGAGUGGAUCUGAGCUUUCCCAAGUGUUCUUUCACCCCUGAGUGCUGCCUUCUCUCUUGCACAUUGUCACCACACAUGGGCACGAUGUUCCCAUCCUGCUGGUGGGAAUCCACAUCCUAAGGGACAGGAUGGGAUGCUAUUGGGAAUCCACAUCCUUCUGGUCAGACCAGAAGCAGGAAAGUGAGGAAACAAGCUGUUAUCUUCUCCCUCUGCACCAGGAGCUCUAGCUCUGAUUGCUCUCCUCUGCCAACCUAAUGGCCUUUUGCUGUACAGCUUUGCCCUUUUCCUUGGGCUUGCUUUUUCCCAGGAAGCCCAGUGGAUGGAAGGGACCCAUGCUGUGGGCUGUGCUUUUAUUCUUGGACAAUGCUGCCAAGGAGAAACGGGAAUCCAGACUGUACAUGACCCCAGGCCAUGAUCUUCAAUCUCCCAACCUUAUCUCAGGUUCUGCCUCACUUAUGUGGUAAAAUUAUGUGAAUUGGAUUCCUGAGGCUGAGUCCCUGCUGCUGUGUUGAGGACAAGCUCUCUGUCACUAGGCAGGUGAUUUUAUUUCAGCUCCAGCUUGCAGCAAAAAGCCAAAACUGGAAGGGGAAUUGUCCCCACCUUGGUGCCAGCCUGUCACUCUAUCAUGGUCACUACUCCGGCUUCAUGCUCAAGGACCAGGACUCUGAACAGGACCUGCAGCACCACCUUCUUACACCUCUGUUCAGACCUGGCUGUGCAAGGUCUGCACAGUAAGCGAUUCCUUUAGCUUUCCUGGGUGACAGUGAACAGUCCCCUCUAUUGGGCCUCUCUUUAGGAGCUCCUGAUACAGCCCCUCCUUGCCUCUAAAGAUGUGUGGAGCUGGAAGGGUGACCUUCACAGGUAUAUUUGCCUUACAGAGCCCUGACAGUGGGUUGCCAUUCCCUAUGGGAGCUGCCACUUGCCCAUCCUGCCUCCCUCCCUGCCAGGGUGUUGAUUUUGUUCCCCAUAGGCAACAUCUUAUGUGGUCCAUCAGCUGCUGCUCCCCGUCCAGCGGGCACUGUGGGCACUGUGAGGUGGGUACCUGUCUCUGACGUGCUCAUGCGAGGUCAGAAACGCCCCCUAUGCACUCCUAACCUGAUGAUUGAGCUGUGGGUGUCUGGAUGAAUCCUCUUGUUCUGUUCACCCAGUGUUCUGUCAGAGCUGGGGUGAGUCUGGCUGGAGGUUUCUAUGGUUUCCUGCUGGUUGCUAAGGAAAAGGAUCGCUUUGCCUCUGGGUCUUGGUGACUUUCUCUUUGCCCUGUCCUAGGCACCGGAGCCCAGCAGAACAUAAUGCUCGUUGUUUCCCAGCCCACUACAAUGGCCAGGGCAUAAUUUGUGACUCCUGUCACGGCUGGGCUGGGCGCCUGCCACUCUCUUUUUUUCUAAGGCCUCUUUGAAGAAUGAGACCAAAGAGCCUUCAAGCAGGAGUUUGUGUGUUUACUGCACUCCCCGCCCCCUCACUUGCUGUUUCCUUUAGAGCUCCAAGUCAUUUUAACGAUUUAUUUCAUGCACUUUACAUAGCAAGAAGCUGUAGCAACAGCUGUGUCCAUGAAUCCUUACCAGGCAGCUCUCGGUAUAUUUUGGUCUGUCUGUGUAUUGUCCCUGGCUCAGUUAAAUAAAUCUCUGCUGGAGGAAGAGACUUUACAGCUUAGUGGCAAAGGGCUGGCGGAUGGGAAUAUCAACAAGACACUUAGUGGGCCACUGGAUCCUGGAAUAGCAGUGCCUCUGGCACAAAGCUCUGCUCCCAGCAGCACAGCCAGGGGCCAGGUCCAGCGCGGGCUCUUUGUUGCUGUCAGCAGGGACGGCGUCUCCAUCCAGCAGCAGUGACAGAGCUGCAGCUAUGGGCUGAAGCUUGGGCUAGGAGCAGUUAAAGCACGUCUGGGACAGAUGCUGCCCUUGUCACACUGCUGUGGAUCCAGGGCUUGGCUGUUAACUGUGCUGGGCUCAUUUCCAUGGGUGCCAUUUGGGAUCUGGGCAUGGAUGUGCUGCCCAAGGCUGUGUGCUCUCGCAGGGAGCUCAGCUGGGGUCUGCAGAGUCCUGCAGCGCCAGGCAGGAUUCAGUCCAUCAGAGCAUCACAGGACUGGGCACAAGUUUACUUUUGCAUAUGGGAUCAAAGCUUAAAAUAUCAGCUGGCCUUUCUCUCACUCCUGACUUUUCUAAAACAUCUGAACAAUUUCUUCUUCAGCUCUGUUAAAAUCAAUCAAUCUGACAUUUAAAUUGUAUGUGAAUUUGAUAAAUAAAGACAGGUUACAAAAUGCCA